AGAAGUGUUUGUUUCUGCAAUUACGUCAAGGUUUCCUAUACUAGGAAAUUACAUAUCAAAUUACAGAUAAACUUACAUCAAAAUGAAAAUCUCAUAUUAUUCAAAAUUAAGUUUUUCACGACGUUUUCUAUGGCUGUCCUUAACCCUAAUAAUAACAGGGCUAAUUUUUCUACACAAAAUAAUUUAUCCUGAAGUGGUUCUUUAUGGAGAAAUUUAUGACGAAAAUGUGACGGAUCAUUGCAGCUCUACUUUAGGAAUCAAUUUAAUUAUCUAUAUAUAAAUUUGG